rnacentral:rRNA from 1 species
GAUGAACGCUAGCGGCAGGCUUAACACAUGCAAGUCGAGGGGUAGGGUAGCAAUACCUGAGACCGGCGCACGGGUGCGUAACGCGUAUGCAAUCUACCUUUUACAGAGGGAUAGCCCAGAGAAAUUUGGAUUAAUACCUCAUAGUAUAGCACAACCGCAUGGUUGAGUUAUUAAAGUCACAACGGUAAAAGAUGAGCAUGCGUCCCAUUAGCUAGUUGGUAAGGUAACGGCUUACCAAGGCGACGAUGGGUAGGGGUCCUGAGAGGGAGAUCCCCCACACUGGUACUGAGACACGGACCAGACUCCUACGGGAGGCAGCAGUGAGGAAUAUUGGACAAUGGGCGCAAGCCUGAUCCAGCCAUGCCGCGUGCAGGAAGAAGCAUCUAUGGUGUGUAAACUGCUUUUGUACAGGAAGAAACACUCCCUCGUGAGGGAGCUUGACGGUACUGUAAGAAUAAGGAUCGGCUAACUCCGUGCCAGCAGCCGCGGUAAUACGGAGGAUCCAAGCGUUAUCCGGAAUCAUUGGGUUUAAAGGGUCCGUAGGCGGUUUAGUAAGUCAGUGGUGAAAUCUCCCCGCUCAACGGGGAAACGGCCAUUGAUACUGCUGGACUUGAAUUAUUAGGAAGUAACUAGAAUAUGUAGUGUAGCGGUGAAAUGCUUAGAGAUUACAUGGAAUACCAAUUGCGAAGGCAGGUUACUACUAAUGGAUUGACGCUGAUGGACGAAAGCGUGGGUAGCGAACAGGAUUAGAUACCCUGGUAGUCCACGCCGUAAACGAUGGAUACUAGCUGUUGGGAGCAAUCUCAGUGGCUAAGCGAAAGUGAUAAGUGUCCCACCUGGGAGGUACUU